rnacentral:misc_RNA from 1 species
CGUUAUCCCCGAAUCAUUUUGAUUGUUUCCAUUUCUCUGGCCUGACGGCGAGGGACACACCCAUCUCGGUGCGUGGUGUCUCAGGGUCCAGUGCCCCCACUCUGUGUGGGGAAGCCACGCAGCCCCCACCUAACCCCUGCCAAUGCCGAACCACCUCUGGUGGUGGCAGGGGCAAGCACCUACGAGCUGGGGGGGUCAGAGCGCUUCAUCGCCACGGAUAUCGGCGGUCGGGUCCUGGACGGCGGUGCGUCAGAGCGGGCUGCGACAGCGCACGCGUCCGUGCCACCCAUGUGAUGGACAGCGUGUCAGCGUGACUCGAGCUAUCCCACGCCGGGCCGUCGCACUGCCUGCUGCUGGGGAGCCUGCGCCAUCGCGAGGGAUGCACCAGGGGUGGCAACCGGCACGAUGGGAGCGACUGUGAGGCGACCUGGGAGGCGGGUGGGCGGGGUAUGAGGCAGCGGCCGUGCUCGCAGAUGACUGAGCCGGCGCACUGCCGUAGCGCGUGUGUACCGCUACUUCGCACCACGCGGGAUGGGCCUGUGGCAUGCUGGCAGAGCCGAGUUUAGCGUAUGUUAUACAUGAAAACGAAUGGAUAUAAAAGGGAUGGGCAAGAAUGUUGGCAGCAGCGGUGGAGGCAUCCUUACAGGAUACAUGAAAGAACAGAGAAGGUGUAUACAGCUGAGAUGCGGGGAAGGUUACUCGCGCAACAGAUUGUUUCUGGCUGGUCUCUCAUCUUGUGUCGUUACGCCGUGUUUGGUCUCAUCACAGUGCCUCUUCGCCCUUCUCUUCUCCUCCCCCUCUUUUUCGAGGCGAUAUUACCUCUGUUUUGCGCACCUGUCGGUGGGUGGGAAG